rnacentral:misc_RNA from 1 species
UUAGCCUUGGGAAGGGCUAGUAGA